UUUCUGCCUAGAAAUCACCACUUACAGUAAGAUAUUCAAGGAAAAGGCAGUCCAGUUGUGUUAGACCUCUGUUCUUCAGAGAAAUAUUGGAAAUCAAUAUUUAAAUAGAAAUGUCUCCUAGCAGCUCAAAUUUUAAAGAAAGAAGAGAUGGAAUUCUUCACAAAGUCAAUGGAAAACAUCAGUAAUUUGAAAAUGACUCACUGCACUGAAGAUGUUUUGGCUCUCAGCUCUGAGGAGGACCAGCUCUUCUGCGGAGAAGUGUGAGUGCAUUUCUUGGAAAAGGUGGUACUGGGGGUGGGUUUGUGAAUGACACUU
rnacentral:lncRNA from 1 species